rnacentral:rRNA from 1 species
GUAGGGAAUAUUGGGCAAUGGUCGGAAGACUGACCCAGCCAUGCCGCGUGCAGGAAGACGGCCCUCUGGGUUGUAAACUGCUUUUAUCUGGGAAGAAAAAGGCCAUGCGUGGCAAAUUGCCGGUACCAGAUGAAUAAGCACCGGCUAACUCCGUGCCAGCAGCCGCGGUAAUACGGAGGGUGCGAGCGUUGUCCGGAUUUAUUGGGUUUAAAGGGUGCGUAGGCGGCUGAUUAAGUCAGCGGUGAAAGACUUCGGCUUAACCGGAGCAGUGCCGUUGAUACUGGUUGGCUUGAGUGUCGGAGGGGUGCAUGGAAUUGAUGUUGUAGCGGUGAAAUGCAUAGAUACCAUCAGGAACACCGAUAGCGAAGGCAUUGUACUGGCCGACAACUGACGCUGAUGCACGAAAGUGUGGGGAUCGAACAGGAUUAGAAACCCCUGUAGUCC